rnacentral:rRNA from 1 species
AGUGAACGCUGGCGGUAGGCCUAACACAUGCAAGUCGAACGGCAGCACAGGAGAGCUUGCUCUCUGGGUGGCGAGUGGCGGACGGGUGAGGAAUACAUCGGAAUCUGCCCAGUCGUGGGGGAUAACGUAGGGAAACUUACGCUAAUACCGCAUACGACCUUCGGGUGAAAGAGGGGGAUCGCAAGACCUCUCGCGAUUGGAUGAGCCGAUGUCGGAUUAGCUAGUUGGCGGGGUAAUGGCCCACCAAGGCGACGAUCCGUAGCUGGUCUGAGAGGAUGAUCAGCCACACUGGAACUGAGACACGGUCCAGACUCCUACGGGAGGCAGCAGUGGGGAAUAUUGGACAAUGGGCGCAAGCCUGAUCCAGCCAUACCGCGUGGGUGAAGAAGGCCUUCGGGUUGUAAAGCCCUUUUGUCGGGAAAGAAAUCUUUCAGGCUAAUACCCUGGGAGGAUGACGGUACCCAAAGAAUAAGCACCGGCUAACUUCGUG